GCAGUAUUCAGUGGAUAGUUUUACUCUUGUGUAACCAUGAAGGUUUUAUUUUCUUUGUUGCACUUGAUUAAUCUAAUAUUAUGUGUCCUCUCACAAGAUAUCACACUAGACCAACCUGGAUCUGCAGUUGUGAAGCCAUCAGACACCUUGAAACUCACAUGUAAAGUCUCAGUGUCAGUUAGCAGUGCAGCAUGGAGCUGGAUCAGACAGAUCCCAGGGAAAGCUCUGGAACAUAUUGGUUAUAUAAGCAGCGGUGGGAGCACUUAUUAUGAGCCCUCAUUUCAGGGACGAGUCACUAUAGGCAGAGACACAGGAAAGAAUGAAGUUACCCUGCAGCUGCCUAAUAUGAAAACUGAUGAAUCUGGGAAAUAUUAUUGUGCAAGAUACACAGCAUGA